GGAGGGAUAGCUUAGUGGUUUGAGCAUUGGUCUGCUAAACCAAACCCACAGUCGUGAGGUCAAUCUUUGCA
rfam:Pelodiscus sinensis unplaced genomic scaffold scaffold1441, whole genome shotgun sequence.